GGAACCCAGCACGAUGUUGGGGGAAAGGACAGCACUUGGAAUCAGAAGACCUCUCCCUGUCUGCAUCCUACUCUGUCACUGGUGCGCAUCUACAAAGGAGCCAUUUAACCAUUUUGAACCUGUCUGCACAUUGCCAAAAUGGAGAUCAUCUGCCUAAUUCAUCUCAGAGGAUUGUUGUGAGAAUUACAAGAAAAAGCACGCAAGGCCCAGCCUGGGGCACACCGGGCCUCUUCCCUGUCAUACUCUGGAUGGAAUUUCUCCUGUGGCUUGUCCAGGCAGAGGCGGUCAGUGACCUGAUGACGCUCUACCCCUCCCCUAUUCCAACACGUGUUCGACUCUGAGAUCGAGGUUGGGAUGUGUCUGGAUCUAAUUCAGUCAAUGCACGAGUAACCAGCCAUCGUCCUGUUCUACUUUGUAAGUGCGAUUUAUUUCUUCCGUCCAGCCACCUGGGCGGCUCAGUCGGUGAAGCAUCCAACUCUUGCUUUCGG